UACGUAGGUGGCAAGCGUUGUCCGGAUUUACUGGGCGUAAAGAGCGCGCAGGCGGUUCAUCAAGUCGAACGUGAAAGCCCCCGGCUUAACUGGGGAGGGUCAUUCGAUACUGAUCGACUCGAAGGCAGGAGAGGGUAGUGGAAUUCCCGGUGUAGUGGUGAAAUGCGUAGAUAUCGGGAGGAACACCAGUGGCGAAGGCGACUACCUGGCCUGUUCUUGACGCUGAGGCGCGAAAGCUAGGGGAGCAAACGGG
rnacentral:rRNA from 1 species